AGCUUUGCGCAGUGGCAGUAUCGUAGCCAAUGAGGUUUAUCCGAGGCGCGAUUAUUGCUAAUUGAGAAUAUACUGUAUUAAUUUUUACUGAAAGUAGGUUUUUUUAAUACAUCAAGAAAGUCAUUGCUUGUAGACUACAUUUACUAGU